UCCGUAAUAGUCUUGACGGUUAGGAUACCUAGUUUGCACCCAGUUGAUCUGGGUUCUCGAGUCCCGGUUACGGAG
rnacentral:tRNA from 1 species